rnacentral:rRNA from 1 species
GGCGGGGCUCACCUCUUCCCAUCCCGAACAGAGUAGUUAAGCCCGCCUGCGCAGAUGGUACUGCAGUAUUGUGGGAGAGUAUGUCGUCGCCUUUC